rnacentral:rRNA from 1 species
AGUGAACGCUGGCGGUAGGCCUAACACAUGCAAGUCGAACGGCAGCACAGUAAGAGCCUGCUCUUACGGGUGGCGAGUGGCGGACGGGUGAGGAAUACAUCGGAAUCUACUUUUUCGUGGGGGAUAACGUAGGGAAACUUACGCUAAUACCGCAUACGACCUACGGGUGAAAGCAGGGGAUCUUCGGACCUUUCGCGAUUGAAUGAGCCGAUGUCGGAUUAUCUAGUUGGGGGGGUAAAGGCCCACCAAGGCGACGGUCCGUAGCUGGUCUGAGAGGAUGAUCAGCCACAAUGGAACUGAGACACGGUCCAGACUCCUACGGGAGGCAGCAGUGGGGAAUAUUGGACAAUGGGCGCAAGCCUGAUCCAGCCAUACCGCGUGGGUGAAGAAGGCCUUCGGGUUGUAAAGCCCUUUUGUUGGGAAAGAAAAGCAGCAGGUUAAUACCCCGCUGUUCUGACGGUACCCAAAGAAUAAGCACCGGCUAACUUCGUG